GAGUUGCAGGUUUUGCUGGAUUUGUGGUCAGGGUUGUUAGUUGUGUUGAUGGGUUAAUUUCAUAACUAACAACAUCAACCCAUCAACACAACGAACAACCCUGACCACAAAUCCAACAAUUUUUUUCAGA
rnacentral:pre_miRNA from 1 species